UGCCAGCCGCCGCGGUAAUACGAAGGGUGCUAGCGUUGUUCGGAAUUACUGGGCGUAAAGAGCAUGUAGGCGGAUGAAUUAGUCAGAGGUGAAAGCCCCGAGCUCAACUUGGGAACUGCCUCCAAAACUAUCAGUCUAGAGUUCGAGAGAGGUGAGUGGAACUCCGAGUGUAGAGGUGAAAUUCGUAGAUAUUCGGAAGAACACCAGUGGCGAAGGCGGCUCACUGGCUCGAUACUGACGCUGAGGUGCGAAAGUGUGGGGAGCAAACAGGAUUAGAUA
rnacentral:rRNA from 1 species